UACGGAGGGUGCAAGCGUUAUCCGGAUUUACUGGGUUUAAAGGGUGCGCAGGCGGAUAUGUAAGUCAGUGGUGAAAUCUCCGGGCUUAACCCGGAACUGCCGUUGAUACUAUAUAUCUUGAAUGCUGUGGAGGUAAGCAGGAUAUGUCAUGUAGCGGUGAAAUGCUUAGAGAUGACAUAGAAUACCUAUUGCGAAGGCAGCUUACUACGCAGAUAUUGACGCUCAUGCACGAAAGCGUGGGAUCAAACAGG
rnacentral:rRNA from 1 species